CUUGAAUCAGUAAAUCUAAAUUUACGUUUCUCUCUCCUUUGUUAGACGCUAGGAAACCAAUUGAUGGUUAAAAUAUGUCCAAGUUAUACCUCUUCCCAAGAAGCAAUUCCAGGCUGAACAAUCUGCUUUUGAGCAAAAAAGAAAUGAAAACAUUCAUGCCAAUAAUCUAAAGUUAUUGGAAAUUGGUGUGAUGACCAGAGAAUCUGCCAUUGUCGUGGCCCCGUUCUACUUAAAGAUUGGAAAAAUGGCUCACGUGUCAGUGGAUAAACUUAAAAAAAUAUGCAAAGAAAAAAAGAUAAAAAUAGAAAAAACGACAAAAAAAAAACGAGAUCCUUGUAACAUUGGGCAAGGCAUUGUAUGGUUCUCGUGUAGUGCGGAUCAACAAAAAAGAUGUAAUCAAAUACAAUAAUUUGAAGCUAAAUGUUUGAUAAUGCUUUGGACUUUUUUUGA